GAUGAACGCUGGCGGCGCGCCUAACACAUGCAAGUCGAACGAUUAAAGCACCUUCGGGUGUGUAUAAAGUGGCGAACGGCUGAGUAACACGUGGGCAACCUGCCCCUCUCAUUGGGAUAGCCACGGGAAACCGUGGAUAAUACCGAAUACUUCGGGACUUCCGCAUGGAAGACUCGAGAAAGCUCCGGCGGAGAGGGAUGGGCCCGCGGCCUGUUAGCUUGUUGGUGGGGUAAUGGCCUACCAAGGCAAUGAUGGGUAGCUGGGUUGAGAGACCGACCAGCCAGAUUGGGACUGAGACACGGCCCAGACUCCUACGGGAGGCAGCAGUGGGGAAUCUUGCACAAUGGGCGAAAGCCUGAUGCAGCGACGCCGCGUGCGGGAUGAAGGCCUUCGGGUUGUAAACCGCUUUCAGCAGGGACGAGGCGAAAGUGACGGUACCUGCAGAAGAAGCCCCGGCUAACUACGU
rnacentral:rRNA from 1 species